rnacentral:lncRNA from 1 species
UGUAGACAUAUGGCGGGUCUGGGCACGCUACCGGGAGGGCCUCCGCCGGUCCCGGGGCGUGACAUCUCACAUACACCUCAGCCCUAAAUCCUCUCGACUGGGAUACUAAGUCCAUAACUCAUAAGGUAUACUUGUUAUACAUUCAUUUGGUUAUGACCUAAUCUUACCGGUUAACCAUGUUAACCCCAAUGACUCACAACCCAAAAUCCCUUAAUAGCGGGGGACUCGAACCACCCUAGGAACCGUCUUCUGGGGGGACUUUACCACGCCCAGUGGUGACCAACUCCGGAGCACACCGCCCGAGGGGGAGCUACCUCCCUCAAGCCAAGACUUAUCGUGAGUAUCGAUCAAUCCUCAACUUGAGGAUUCAUAGCCACUCGUCACAAUGCUAUUGUCAUAAUAGGUUUCUACCUAUUUAAUCAUGCCACUCUCUACGUCAACUUGGACCAAUGUCAAUAUGGUUAAACUAUGUUUAACAACCACUUUCUUGAUGCCAAUCAUAUCUCUAUUUUCAUUGUCACCCUUGUUUACUAUUGUCCAAGUCCAACUUAUGUUCUUUAACAAUAGGUUUAAUGCCACACAUGAUUCCAACCUAAGUUCUUUGACACUAGGUUCAUGUCCACCCUAUGUUUAUUCACACUAGGUUCAUAUCAUCCAUGUUCAACCUAGGUUCAUGACUCUAGGUUGAGUGCCACUCGAUCUAAUAUAUAGAUGUCCCAUGUCAAGGUCUCUAUUAUAGAGUUAUCGAUCCAAUUCAUGCAUUCUCUUACAGUGCUAAUUAUGCAUCAUGCAAUUAUCUAGCAUUUACAUGGCAUAUUCAUCAUGCAUUCUACGAUAAUUAUUAUAUAGCAACCAUAUCAAGCGUUUGCCUAGCUUUUACAUCAUGUCAUUUACAUGCAUUCUUUUAGUGUUACUACAUGCAUCAUCUCAAUGCCAACAUACAUUACAACUAGCAUGUACUUUCCCAAUGCAUUAUUAUGCAAUUAUCCUGUAGUAUGCAUUUUCAUAAUGUCAAUAUGCUUAUUGUCAUCUAACAUGUGUCCACAUUUAGCAAUUUCUCAUAACUCAUAUAAUUAACAACAUGUUAACAUUCAUUUAUAUGCUCACGUUCUCUAAUACAUGUCAACAUGAAUCUCAUAAUGCUAAAUGCCCCUAGCAUGUAUUUCACUAAGCAUACAUACUAAUAUGCAAAUUACCAACUAGCAUGCAUUUAUACAAUGCUAAUAUGCCCGUAUGCACAUACACAUAUGCAUCAACAAGAUUCCAUAUUUCGCUUUGACAUGCGGGGCGACCAAGUCGCUUCGGUAAACACAACCCACCUCAUUUCGCAUUCCGAUUGCUUGUCGACACUUGCAAUCGGCCUCCCGCGGCACCCGGCACCCGGUUUGGCCCGAUCUCUUGCGCGACCACCCGAACGGCCUCCAAUUCACGAUCCGAAAAUUAAAGGUCUUCGGUUAUGUGCCACGAUGCUUCAAAUCCGUUUUCAUGAGUUUACGAUGUCGCCUCGGCCCUCCAGGCGGAAACGAAGCCUAAACGUCCGUUUCUUUAAUAACUUCGCAACGGCUCGACGAAUCGCCGAACCGUCUUCGCCAACGCGUUCGUUUACCUAGCAAUUAGGUUUACGGAGGGUCAAAUGAGAUCAAACCCUCAUAUUUACAAAACUAGCAUUUUUGAGCCCUAGAUGCAAUUAACCUCCAAAUAAUCCAAAUUAAAUGGAGCAACAUGCUAAUAAUGCUCAUUAGAGGCUAUUAGAACACUUAAAGCUAAGGAUUAAGCCAAAUCCCAAAAGCUUACCACAAUGUGAACGCCGCGACGAAAACACGCCGCUCCAACGGGCGCACGAAAGCUCGAUCCGUCGCCUCCAACGCGUUCGCAAGCAUCUUCUCCACCAACCCUCCAAUUUUUAGAGAGAGAUUUAGAGAGAUGAGAGAGAUAUCUAGAGAGAGGAAGAGGUGUUUCUCUCUCUAUCUCCAUGAGUGUGCGUGUGUGUGUG